AACGGAACGGAAAAAUAUCCCGUUGGUUUCUUUCUCACUAAGAAAGAAAAUAAAAUUGAAUAGAUAAAAUAAUAAAAAUAAUAAAUAAUAAAUAACAAUAAAAAUUAAAUAAAUAAAUUCAAAAUUCAAAUAGAAUAGAUUCAAAUUUAAAAUUUUGAGUUUUUCUCCAACAAUCCCCCACAAAACUCAAAAUUUUUCAAAAUACGAAUUAAAGUCAGAAAAGAAAAUACUGAGUGUUUAUACUAUGCAGUAGGUGAGAUGUCUUUAAGAGACUUAACCUUACUUAGUGUAAGCAGUUUCCAUCAGAAGUAAUCGGAGUAAACCAAAUCUUGAACUACGUUUCUUUGACCCUGACUUCAACCACCAUACAUACAGUACAGAAUUCUCCGUCGCGGAUCUGUGCGUUAAUGGCCAUGCAAAAUAUCUUGAUUUUUCAUAAGCGUUUCUAUGGAUAGCCCAUAUCUCGUAGCCGCAGCCACAUACGGAUACUCUUAUAUACGUGGUUUCCUCCAGAGAUGUGUGUAGAGUCAUAUCUCGCGAAAAUUACUGCCUUUGAUCCCAUUAAGAGCUAUCAGCUCAACCUAAUCUACUAUACAGAGCACUACUUACCGUAGGGAUAGGAUUGGAGCUAAUCUCCUCUAUAAAAUAUAUAGAAAGUACUUUUUGGCCAAUUUGCCAGCUUGUUUUUACCAUAUUGAACAUUCUUCAAAGGAUCUCCUACCACAAAGAUUGGGUUCCCACUGCAGAAAGGCCCUUUAUGAGCAAAGCCCCAUCCUCCUCGAUGAUAUCAGGAUCUUAGUCCUGUUCAGACCUUUGAUCAAGUAAUAUGCAAAAUUUUAUUCAAAUCUGAUAAAAUUUAAAAGAAUAACAUUAUGAGAAAUUAAUCAUCUGACAAUCUUUUAUCUCAACUUUAUAUGUAUGACAGUUAAUCUUAAAAUUUAUCAUUUUC
rnacentral:lncRNA from 1 species